rnacentral:rRNA from 1 species
CCUACGGGUGGCAGCAGUGAGGAAUAUUGGUCAAUGGACGAGAGUCUGAACCAGCCAAGUAGCGUGAAGGAUGACUGCCCUAUGGGUUGUAAACUUCUUUUAUAAAGGAAUAAAACGAGGCACGUGUGCCUUUUUGCAUGUACUUUAUGAAUAAGGAUCGGCUAACUCCGUGCCAGCAGCCGCGGUAAUACGGAGGGUCCGAGCGUUAUCCGGAUUUAUUGGGUUUAAAGGGAGCGUAGAUGGGUUGUUAAGUCAGUUGUGAAAGUUUGCGGCUCAACCGUAAAAUUGCAAUGGAUACUGGCAGUCUUGAGUACAGUUGAGGUAGGCGGAAUUCGUGGUGUAGCGGUGAAAUGCUUAGAUAUCACGAAGAACCCCGAUUGCGAAGGCAGCUUACUAAACUGUGACUGACAUUGAUGCUCGAAAGUGUGGGGAUCAAACAGGAUUAGAUACCCUUGUAGUC